rnacentral:lncRNA from 1 species
CCUCCUCUGCAUUCUACCCGUUCAGUUUCUCUGUGAGCAUCUUGUUUCCUAUUUUUUCCAUUUUUUUUGGAUUUUUUGGAGUUUUCAUUUGAUUCAAAAUAUCCUCCAACACUUCCUCCUCUAACAGUUUUAGAAGUUCGUCAGCUCCAGCCCCCCAAAAUCCUAGUACUGUAGAUGAAUCUGCACUUAGCACCGAACC